AUUAUCUUAAAACAGCAUGCAUUUAUUAUUUCAUCGUCUGUAGUUCAGAAAUUUGGCAUGGGUCUCCCAGAGCUAAAAUCAAGGCACUGUCAGGGCUAUGUUCUCUUCUGGACAUACUGAUUUCCUUUCUUUUGGAUGUAUACCCAGUAACGCUGAAUGCUGGAUCAUAUGGUAGUUCUGCUUUUUAAAUUUUUGUUGAACACUGCAGAUAUGGAAAGGCUUUAUACUACAAAACAGUAAAUAACAGGGAAUUAAUGAUGGCUGCACUGUAGAGAAACUUUUUUUUUAAUGUUUUGAAUUGCACUAGGCAGAAGUUUGCUGCAGGGGAGGGGCUCUCAUGGAGAAACUCUGCUAGGGCAGUGCAGAAGGGAAAUGUGAGGUUGGAGCCCCCACACAGAGUCCCUACUGGGGCAACACGUAGUGGAACUGCGAG
rnacentral:lncRNA from 1 species